rnacentral:misc_RNA from 1 species
UCUCCGUUGGUGAACCUGCGGAGGGAUCAUUACAGAGUUCAUGCCCUACCGGGUAGAUCUCCCACCCUAUGUUAUUAUUACUUUGUUGCUUUGGCGGGCCGUUAGGCUCCGGCCCGACUACCGGCCCCGGCUGGUAAGCGCCCGCCAGAGGACCCAAAACCCUGAAUAUUAGUGUCGUCCGAGUACUAUAUAAUAGUUAAAACUUUCAACAACGGAUCUCUUGGUUCUG